UGUGUAUAGGUGUUUAGCAUUAAAAAUUUUGAAUUUUUAGGAUUAAUUAAAUUUAAAUUACACAA
rnacentral:tRNA from 1 species